GGGCGGUUAGCUCAGCGGUAGAGCGCCUGCCUUACAAGCAGGAUGUCACUGGUUCAAUCCCAGUACCGCCCA
rnacentral:tRNA from 2 species